rnacentral:rRNA from 1 species
UAUGUGAUCGUCUCUCGCAUAUCAAUAAGCGGAGGAAAAGAAACUAACAAGGAUUCCCCUAGUAACGGCGAGUGAAGCGGGAAGAGCUCAAAUUUGAAAUCUUAAAGGGUUUCCCUUUACGAAUUGUAGUUUAAAGAAGUGUUUUCUGUUGAGGUUUUGGUAAAAGUUCCUUGGAAUAGGACAUCAUAGAGGGUGAGAAUCCCGUAUUUGACCUUUACUUUCAACUUUGUGAUACACUUUCAAAGAGUCGGAUUGUUUGGGAAUGCAGUCCAUAAUGGGUGGUAAAUUUCAUCUAAAGCUAAAUAUUGGCGAGAGACCGAUAGCGAACAAGUACCGUGAGGGAAAGAUGAAAAGAACUUUGAAAAGAGAGUUAAACAGUACGUGAAAUUGUCAAAAGGGAAGCGUUUGACACCAGUGUUGUUUUUCUGAAAAUCAAUUAAAGAACUGUUUAUGCUAAGUUGUUUAGACUUUAUCAGCUAACUGUUUAGUUUUGAGCUUUUCUUUAAUGCACUUUUCAGUUAACAAGUCAACAUCAAUUUCUUUUGCUGUAAAAAAGCUUGAGGAAGGUGGCUUGAGAUUCGUCUUAAGUGUUUAUAGCCUCUUGCCUAUGCAGUCGGAGAGAUUGAGGUCUGCAGCGUAGAUCCUUCGGGGCUAAAUGCAUUUGUGCUAAGUUAUAGCAUUUUAUAGACAACUUGUUGACUAUGAUUUGUCUUGUAGCUUACUCGCUUAUGUUAUUUUACCUACGCUUAGGAUGUUGAGCGCAUGUCUCUCUCU